CGCUGGAGGGUGAUCAUGGAGACCACUUGUACGGGCUUUAAUUACAAGUCUUCUGGCAGAAAACUUAGCUUUUCAAAGUGGGAAUCAUGCCAGCAAACAGAUAUUUGCUUCAAAGUGCUGAAUUCCCAGUAUUCGUUUUUGGUGGUUCUUGGAGUAUCCCUCGGUUCUCCGCAUCAGGCUGUGGGUAGUUUUGCCCUUUGGUUCCUGGUCUCACCUUCCCCCUGGCUUUUCAUUUUGACCUGGCAGCUGGGAGUGCUGGCAGUGGGCGGGGCCUGUGUCUAGCUCCACCCUGCUGACCGGUUUGCCCCUGGGCAAGUGUCCUGACUUGGGGGGGGGGGGUUCAUUCUCCUGUCUACAAAGCCGGGCAGGGGCGGGGCCUGGAGCUGUGUGAAGGCAGGAGGCUCAGGGGCCAAUCCCAAGCUCCUGGAGCCACAAGUUCUGAGUCUUAUCCUCCCUGUUCCAGUCUGAGUCUUCGCUUUCUGUUGGGCAUACUUUGGGAUGCUGCUUAUUUUAUUCUCUCUCAGAUGAAAAAACAAAACCCACCUCCUUCCCUGUCCACCUUUUGCCUUGCGGGUCCCUUCCAUGGGCUGUGGGUGUUGGGCUUCUCCCUCACCCUCCUGAGUGGCACGUCCCUCCCCGUAGCCUGGUCAUUCACAUGGUUCUCAUUAUUUCUCUGUGCCUCUAGGCACCUCUGAGGUGUGUUCUCCUGAGGGUUCUCCUUGUUGGCUUCCUCCUGAUUUCUUUCACCCAGAACAUGUUGAGAUGUUCCCAAGAAAACACUGAAAUUGACUGUAUAUGAAAGGGUGGGUUCGAGGUCCCUUUCUUGACAAAGGUCUUAGCAGUUUCUAUGUCUCUCUUCCAACCAGGUGUCUGUCUGCGUGGAUGGUGGGGAGGGGGCCCGGCUGUGAGCCCCAAAGUGCUUUAAAUAGAGAUAAAACCCGGGAGGCCAUGGGGAAGAUCCUCCUCUCAGACACUGGGGAGACACAGCCUUGGAAAUAGGAGACACCUUGCUUUGAACCCCUAAUGGGUGUUUUGGCUUCUUUUCUUUUUAAAAGAUCAUGUAUUUCAUUCCAGACUUGAAGACAUAUGUUUCCAUGUUGAACCCAGAACUGUUCAUGGAGAGCCAUCUUCGCUUCUUCUAGAUGGACGGUGCCAUUUGUUGAUUCUCCUGUCUUUUCCCCAUUGAUUUGAAAUAUCAUCUUUACCAGAUGCUAAAUAUGUAACCUAUAGAUCUGUUCCUGGAUUCUCUGUUCUGUUCCAUUGAUUUUCUACUCUGUGUUAGCACCAUGUGUCUUAAUCACCAUUGGAAAGCUGGGGCUUCUGAGCCAGAAUAUUCAUGGACACUAGUAUUCAGCAUUUUUUUUUUACAGGAAUAAAAGGGUAGUUGCAGAAUCCGUUGUUCCCACAAGCCAUCUGGUAUUCCCCAAUACUUGGAAAAAUGAUGGAAAACAGUCAGUUAACUUCUAUUUGAUCAUUUAAGAAAUCUUAAUGAUUUCCUAAUCAGACUGUCUCUAAGUCUUUGUGCUGAGAAGUAGAAUUCCAAAUGUUUAAUUCAUGAGGUGUUUGCUCCAUGGAGACCAGUUUAUUUUCAGGUCUGGGAAAACAAACCAAACUUGGGCAAAUUUUCUGUUAUUUCUUGGUUCCGGCAUAGAGUUUACACAUACUCUGUGCUGUGCAGCUCUGAAUUUACGGGUGAAGUUUGCAUGUUCUUCCAUCCUGGCCCUGAAGCCCCCCCUAGGAUGUGGAACUGGUACCUUAUAGCCACAAGGUUCAGUUGUCAUGGGUUCCCGGGUUGGAGAGGGGCCAGUCCCGCACCAUCAGCUGCCACCUGCAUGGCUCAGCUUUCUCGGUGCCUGGGAGCCAAGUCUCCCACCCAGAUUUAUCCUAAAGUGCGUCAGCAGCCCUACAAUGCUGCAGAGCAAGCAGAG
rnacentral:lncRNA from 1 species